CUUGGUCAUUUAGAGGAAGUAAAAGUCGUAACAAGGUUUCCGUAGGUGAACCUGCGGAAGGAUCAUUAAAGAGUAAGGGUGCUCAGCGCCCGACCUCCAACCCUUUGUCGUUAAAACUACCUUGUUGCUUUGGCGGGACCGCUCGGUCUCGAGCCGCUGGGGAUUCGUCCCAGGCGAGCGCCCGCCAGAGUUAAACCAAACUCUUGUUAUUUAACCGGUCGUCUGAGUUAAAAUUUUGAAUAAAUCAAAACUUUCAACAACGGAUCUCUUGGUUCUCGCAUCGAUGAAGAACGCAGCGAAAUGCGAUAAGUAAUGUGAAUUGCAGAAUUCAGUGAAUCAUCGAAUCUUUGAACGCACAUUGCGCCCCUUGGUAUUCCGAGGGGCAUGCCUGUUCGAGCGUCAUUACACCACUCAAGCUAUGCUUGGUAUUGGGCGUCGUCCUUAGUUGGGCGCGCCUUAAAGACCUCGGCGAGGCCACUCCGGCUUUAGGCGUAGUAGAAUUUAUUCGAACGUCUGUCAAAGGAGAGGAACUCUGCCGACUGAAACCUUUAUUUUUCUAGGUUGACCUCGGAUCAGGUAGGGAUACCCGCUGAACUUAAGCAUAUCAAUAAGCGGAGGA
rnacentral:rRNA from 1 species